ensembl:misc_RNA Metazoa_SRP Metazoan signal recognition particle RNA
GAUAUGGUGGUAUGCACAUGUAGUCCCAGCUGCUCAGGAGGCUGAGGCAGGAGGAUUGCUUGAGCUCUGGAGUUCUGGGCUGUAACAUAACCUGGCCAUCAGGUGUCUACACUAAGUUUGGCAUCAAUAUGAUGAACCUCUAGGAAAAAGGAGACCACCAGAUUGCCUAAGGAUAGGUGAACCAGCCCAGGUGGGAAACAGAGCAGAACAAAACUCCUGUCCUGAUUGGUAGUGGGAUGGUGCUAGUAAAUAGUCACUGCACGCCAGCCUGGGCAACAGAGGCAAACCCCCAUCUCA